AUUGCACGCUGGCGGCAGGCCUAACACAUGCAAGUAGAACGAGUGGCGGACGGGGGAGAAAUGUCUGGGAAACUGCCCGAUGGAGGGGGAUAACUACUGGAAAAGGUAGCUAAUACCGCAUACCAUCGGAUGUGCCCAGAUGGGAUUAGCUAGGAGGUGGGGUAACGGCUCACCUAGGCGACGAUCCCUAGAUGGUCUGAGAGGAUGACCAGCCACACUGGAACUGAGACACGGUCCAGACUCCUACGGGAGGCAGCAGUGGGGAAUAUUGCACAAUGGGCGCAAUCCUGAUGCAUCCAUGCCGCGUGUAUGAAUAAGGCCUUCGGGUUGUAAAGUACUUUCAGCGAGGAGGCGUUACUCGCAGAAGAAGCACCGGCUAACUCCGUGCCAGCAGCCGCGGUAAUUC
rnacentral:rRNA from 1 species